ensembl:lncRNA
GUAUAUCAGUCAUUGCAAAUGAAAGCAGCCACCAGGAAGAGAGUCAAUCAGUGCCUGAUCUACAACAGGAAAUAAGCACCUGUCCUAUAUCAGUAGUUUCUGCACAUGAAAUCACAGAAGCAUCAGAGACUGUUGGAACCAUGGAACCAGAAAGCAACACAACAGAAGAGCGGCCACCAUCUCAGAUUGCUGGCACGUCCGUGAUGAAUCGCAGUGAAGAAAUGUAUUGUGAGCAGAAGACCAAUGCAGUUUCUGAUCCUCAAUUACAGUCGAACCCAGAGAGCUCAAAGAAAACCUCUGUGCAGACCAAGAAAGGACGCUUUUCCAAAAUAAAACCUAAACCUAACAUUGCCCGAGCCUCCAGGACUACACAGUCAAAUUCACAAACAAAUAACAACAAAUUAUCUUUAAAGACAGCUGAGGACGGUCACUCUAGUGCUUCUGACAUUUUUCAGGUCAGCCACUCACAACAGGUUCCUGAAAAUAUUUCUGAAUUGCAAAACUCUGGUCCAACCGUAACAGGAGAAAUUUCCUGUAGUGACGUCAGACUUACAGAGGAGCCGUCUGGUCGUCAGGAAGCAGGACGCUCUGUAAUCGCUGAUCAGAGUACAUCAGAGAACCAGAACAGCUGCAUUCCUGAGACUCAGCUUGAAUCCAGUAGAGAGAACCAGCUGACAACUGGGCCCGCAGAUGACAGGACAGAAAGAAGAGACAGAAGUUACAAAUACUUUGGAGACAAGGAGGGGACGACUCCAUGAAGUAAAAUCUACAGACAGUCAACUGCAGGCAUCAGAAACAGAACAACCUGAAACUCAAACCACACAAGACCCUGUCACACACUUGGAGCUUGUAGACAAACCCUCCAUCCAAACUGCAAACCUCCAACCCACAGAGAAACCAGCAAAAAAGAUGGAAACAGAACCAACUGGCAAUGCCACCCUUCUGAAACUCCAAGUCAAAGCACUGGACCCGAUUCGGUUUUUGUAUCAUCGGUGAAUAUGGACUCUACUCAUGAAACAGCACAGAAACUGUCUAUAACUGAGGAGAAAAAAACAGAUGUUGAAUUCGCCAGUCAGGCAGAUUCGUGUUCAGAAAGCUCCGAACAAAAUGUGCCUCAAAGAAGGCGCCGCUUUCCUAAAGUGAAACCCAAACCAAAUUUGGGAUCAUCCCCCAGAUCCACCCAGCCAAGAGCUCAGCUAAAAUGCCUCAGCAAAUCCUCUAACCAGCUCUGUAAAGAUAGUUCUUCAAAUGCAACCUCAGAACAACAACAAUCUGUCGAACAGAACAGUGCAAAAACUCAAGUAGAAUCUGCAGAGACAGACUCCCAGCACCUGACACCAUCACAUUCUUCUUUAAAUAUAGAGCUCAGUUCAGCAAACGCUGGAAAUGCAGAGUCUGAGAAAUCCUUAGGCAGCACAAAUGAGAAGGAUGCACAGUCUGACAGCAUUGUCAUGGCAACAUCUUGGGUUGCUGAGAGUGAGACAAUGUUCACAGACUCAGUUUCUGAAAAUAAAACUAAUACGAGGCCUCCGGUGGAAGAAUCCACAGGUGGCUGUAUCUCAAACCAGGACAAAGUGGAGACACUGGACACUGAAGCAGCUUCACUAUGUAACACUGAGCAAGAGAUAAACAGUAGGACCGCAGGGUCAAACACACAACCAGUAGGAGAUCCAAGCACAGUCUCCAUUGUGCAGCAUUCACAUGAUGUCUCUGCACUGACAACUAAAGCAGAGUCCAUACCAGAAAACAUCCAGCAGUCACAGUCAGAAAUUCAUUCUGACAUACGAAGUCAAGAUGCAGCACAACAUCGCUCUGAAACAAAUGAAACAAAACAAGCAAACCAAGACAAAUGUCCUCCCCAUGAAAGCUUCAGUGAAACUCAGGAUGUACCAGCUGACUCCUCCAAGACCUCAAGAAAGCCUCAAACUCAGAGGGGCCGCUUUAUUAAACCGAAACCCAACCUGGGACGCAGCAGUCGACCUCAACGACCCCAAAGCAAAACUGAAAACAUGACAGACUCUGCUGUUUGCUCAGACAAUGCAGAUGCUUCCGAUUCCCAGAAAGCUGUCUCUGAACUUCGCUCUGAUGUUCAGGUGACACUAGAGGCAGCUAAAGAACAAGUUGGAGGUCUACAUGUUCCUCCCAAUGAUGCAGGGUCCACUUUGGGUGACUUGACCCAAGUACAUGACAGUUCAGCCCAGUCUUUCCAGGAUGCAACCACAUCAAGCACCAUGGAGACCCUAAAUUACCAAAGUCUGUCCAUAUUUCAAGAGAUCCUAACAGAGCAGGUUCCCUCAGAUCCAGAUGAGCCAUUUUUUGUCCUCUCUCUGACUGCGAUCCCAGUCUGCCCAUCAGGGGAGGUGCUAGACACUGUGUCUGAGCCUUAUCGUCCUGUAACAGAUGUGCUAGCACAACAAGAGAGCAGUGGUCCUGGAGAGACCGUCACAGCAGGGAGUGAUGGGUCUUUCGCCAACAUUCAUGUACCGACAUCUACAGAGGCAAGCAAUGAAACAGACCUCAUCAGUGGGAAAGAAACUGGGCCAGAUCCAGCUGUGAGUGAACAGAACUUACUCAUGGAAAGGCCAGAGAAUCCACAAGAUGGUAGUUCAGCCCAACCACCAAACUUACCGGACGCCACAGAGAAUACCCAGGAGUCUGACAACCCUCUGACAAAACGGAGACAAACUGGAAGAAGAGCCAAACUCCAGGUUAAGCCCAAAACUGCAAGAAACAGGCAAGUCAGAAACAAAGAAAGCCUCACUGUCGAGGAAGCUAAUAAACCUCUGCAAACAAACACCACCCAAGAUGCAGAGAUUCCUAGACCCUCUGUGCAGCCAGAAGCAACUGAUUCAACAGCGAAAACAUGGAUUGAGAUUAUUAGUGAUUCAGAGGAAGAAAGUGGAGAUCGUCUAGUCACUGAAAAGAGUGGAAAGGCUGUUGAAGAUCGUAGUUCUGGAGCACAAAGCAAGACUGCAGAGUCCAGAGGGAAAAGGCAGACUAGAAAAUCCAAAAACGUCCUUCCUGUUAUUUCUGAGACAAACAGCACUAAACAACCAAGUGAUCCUCCACAAGCUAAAGCAUCCACUCGUAGUAAAGUCAAAGCUCCACGUGCUGCAAGAAGAAGGACAACUCCACCUGCUGUAGCUUCAACAUCACAUGAUGUGGCUUACUCAACCGUUCCAGAGGAAACCCACUCACCAGUCUCUGCCACACCACCAUCACAAAUACAAAUGGAUGUCCAGCAGAGUGAAGAUCACAGCCAGCCACUCUCAGACACAGCUCCCAGUACUUCUGAGUGCACAGCCGAGGUUUCAUCCACCCAGCAAAGUGACUGGAUGGAGAGCAGCCAAGUGGAUGACGAGCCCACCAGUGUUUCUCAGUAUUUCUUAAGUGACAUUUUUACAGAUGUGGAAGAUGAAUAAAAGCCACGUAGAGAUGGGAGCGAGAAGAGGAACCUGCCAGGGACCUGCCUUUAACAGAAUUUGUUUCUUUAAACUCGAACUGUAUAGGUUAAUUUAUAACAAAAUGAGUAUUUUUUGGUAUGUCCUUUGGAAUCAAGUGAAGUUAAAUUCACUUUGAGAAACACAUAAUUCCAGUAGCACGUUGUUUAUGUUCAGUACUUACAAAUGCAUUGUUGCAUCCAUUAGCUCAUAUUCAAAACCAAAACAGACAAAUCACAUGUUCGACUGAAAGAGGCAGCAGUUUUGUGUAAAAUGUGGAAGUUUUUCUUUCUUUUUUAAAAAUGAUUAUUAUUAUUAUUAUUAUUAUUAUUAUUAUUAUUAUUAUUAUUAUUUCAUAUAUACAUAGGAAAAUGUAAAUAUUGUACAAUAAACUACCCCCAUGCUAUAUGCUUUGAAUACAGACCACACCAUUGGUCUCAGGAAUAUACCAUACACACAUGUACAGUUGUACAGUUGAUUUAAUGCCUUUGUUUUAAUGCCAUUUUUAUUUUUUUGUGCAACUUUUCUCACAACAGUAUAAUCUAAAGCAUUUUUCUAAAAUGUUUUCUUUUAAACCUCAGAGACGUCAGGAGCAGACAUUUGUAUUUGGUUAGAAUAGGUUCUGGUACAUGUCUAUCAGCAGUAAAAGAGGAAGAUGUUUUAUUGUACUGAAUAUAGGAUGUUGAAAAGGUUGUAGAUAUUGGAGUAUCUAAGAAGCCUCUGAAGUCUCAAAGUGUGACAUAUUCUGUGCACACAUGAUUUAAAAAAAAAUCAUUUGGGACUUCAGGGCCAAUUUUGCUUUCAGUUUAUUGCAUUUGAUACUUGAAAUAAAACCACAUCAGUUGUGUAGCAACAAUAAAAUAUCCAUUUCUGUCAGAUAAUAAAAGAAAAUUUCAUCCAACGCUGUGCAUGUCAGACUUGUUGAGGUUUCCAUUAA